GACGAACGCUGGCGGCGUGCUUAACACAUGCAAGUCGAACGGAAAGGCCCUGCUUUUGUGGGGUGCUCGAGUGGCGAACGGGUGAGUAACACGUGAGUAACCUGCCCUUGACUUUGGGAUAACUUCAGGAAACUGGGGCUAAUACCGGAUAGGAGCUCCUGCUGCAUGGUGGGGGUUGGAAAGUUUCGGCGGUUGGGGAUGGACUCACGGCUUAUCAGCUUGUUGGUGGGGUAGUGGCUUACCAAGGCUUUGACGGGUAGCCGGCCUGAGAGGGUGACCGGCCACAUUGGGACUGAGAUACGGCCCAGACUCCUACGGGAGGCAGCAGUGGGGAAUAUUGCACAAUGGGCGGAAGCCUGAUGCAGCAACGCCGCGUGCGGGAUGACGGCCUUCGGGUUGUAAACCGCUUUCGCCUGUGACGAAGCGUGAGUGACGGUAAUGGGUAAAGAAGCAUCGGCUAACUACGUG
rnacentral:rRNA from 1 species